GCAUGAACAAAAGAGGAGACCAUUCUUCUCUUGGGUGAGAGACCUAGAACUGUUCUAGAUUUUUGGAUGAGAAAAAAAUUAAAGAGAAGAGAGUCUUCAUCUAAUUUUUCUUCACCAUCCAGCAUCUUUCUCUAAUCCAUCUUCAAUAUUGAAAAAAUUUGAGGUGAUCGAAGAAGAAGAUCAAGUCAGAUCUGCCAUCAGAAAUCGACUGUGCGAGCUAGUACUCCUGUGGGGGGCUGAUCAGUUCGAGGGGCUUCGUGUGGACCAUCCGUAGAGGUCGGAUACUUGUGUAGCUACGAGCGAUCAGAGAAAACUUCUAGAUCUAUAUUCUCAAUC
rnacentral:lncRNA from 1 species